rnacentral:rRNA from 1 species
GACGAACGCUGGCGGCGUGCUUAACACAUGCAAGUCGAACGGAAAGACCCUGCUUUUGUGGGUUGCUCGAGUGGCGAACGGGUGAGUAACACGUGAGUAACCUGCCCUUGACUUUGUGAUAACUUCAGGAAACUGGGGCUAAUACCGGAUAGGAGCUCCUGCUGCAUGGUGGGGGUUGGAAAGUUUCGGCGGUUGGGGAUGGACUCGCGGCUUAUCAGCUUGUUGGUGGGGUAGUGGCUUACCAAGGCUUUGACGGGUAGCCGGCCUGAGAGGGUGACCGGCCACAUUGGGACUGAGGUACGGCCCAGACUCCUACGGGAGGCAGCAGUGGGGAAUAUUGCACAAUGGGCGGAAGCCUGAUGCAGCAACGCCGCGUGCGGGAUGACGGCCUUCGGGUUGUAAACCGCUUUCGCAUGUGACGAAGCGUGAGUGACGGUAAUGGGUAAAGAAGCACCGGCUAACUACGUG